CUGGCUGGUGCGGGGCAGGCAGCUCGGCCAGCGCUGUCUUCCUGCAGGCUCGCAGAUGUCUGCUGACAACUUGCUCGUGCACUCGGGGAAGGUGUAUAUGAGGUGGUUGAUUCGAUGUGUCUGCAAGAGGAGGCCCCCUCGGAGCGGAGGCGUCAGCUCUCCACGGUCCUCCUGUACUCGGCGGUGCCCUCGGCGAUGAUGGCGUCCAGUGGGGCGCGCUUCUUGCGGAUGCUGCGCCCCGAGGAGAUGAGGUCGGCGUAGCCCCGCUGGUGGGAGAAGGCGUAGCCCGAGCGCCUGGCGGACACCCCCCUGCGGAAGACGCUCUGCCGGCGCUGCCACUGCUCCUCGGCUUUCAAGCGCUUGCGCUGCUUCAGGAUCUGCAGGAUGGGGAGUGGGGACAAGCAAGAUGGUCAUGUACAGGAAUCGAAUGGCCACGACAGGCAGUAAGCACACGGCCACGGUCAGGAUGAUGGUCAACCAGAUGUAUGGCUGUCUCAGCGCAUUGGAAGCUGUGCCUAUAUUUCACCAUCUAGACUGAUGACAUGUUCCUGUACAUCUUUGGAAUUUAGGAAAUACCCACCUGUAAACUGAAAUGCAGAUGGAAAGAGGACAUGCAUCCCGGCACUAUGAAUGUCAAACAUGAUGCCGAAAUAAAGCGCGAUGCUUCCAAAAAUUGAAAAAGCAUUCACAAAAGUCCAGUAAGAAGUAUCCAAGCCAAUCUGUUGGGGAAGUAGAGAAAAACAGAGCACUCACUUUGGGGAGUUAGCGAGAAAUAAGUGAUCGAAGAAACUCUGAAAAUAGAUUGAAGCAACUAGGCGUGAACACUGAACAGACUCUCCUUGGCUCAGGCCAGAAAUAGAACAUGUGCUUGGUAGGGGGGGU